GGUUUUAGCAACUUAUGGGACACCAGUAAACCGUGGCUCGCGUUUGCUGUGAAGCGUCUCCCUAGUUCAGAUCUCCGUGUGUCAUGCGUCCUGGCUCGUAGGGUCAUCAAGGCGUUUGUAAAAAAAACACUGUAGACAUGUACAUGAAGCGAGCAGAAUACCGUGUUGUCAUGCAUUAUGUGUGUACACGGCGGCGAACUAUGCAACACUCAGAUGUCACAUUUUGGGACGUUACAAGAACACACCAGGACAGUCGCCUCGAAUCGAUUUGCUCUCCGAAACCACGAAAGGUUUUGAUGCCAGAGCUGACUGAUGUGUGCACAUAGUUCCCUCAUAUGUUCUUCCUUUGAAAAAAUAAACGCGUUUUGAUGCCAGAGCUGGCUGAUGGGUGCACAUGGUUCCUUCGUAUGUUCUUCCUUUGAAAAAAAUAAACGGAGAGUAUAACUGCAUGUCAAUUGACCUGCUCCCUGUAACAGUUUCCUUUCUCUUUGCAGUGUUUUGAUGCCAGAGAUGACUGAUGGGUGCACAUGGUUCCUUCGUAUGUUCUUCCUUUGAAGAAAUAAACGGGUUUUCAUGCCAAAGGUGACUGGCGCAUUUUCAUCACUAUGUACAUAGAAAAUAAA